CUCAUCUUUCUAGAUCUCUAAGUCAGCCGCACACCUCUCUCUUCCUCCCCCGUCCACCCUACCUUUAUCAACACCCACCUAAUCCUCAAUUCCUUCAUUAUGUUUCCACCUCUCAUCACCACCAUCACCACCACCACCACCCACCAUCGCCCCUCUUUCCGUCUCCUCCCCCUGCUAACCUGCGCAUCACACCAUGACCAGCUCGCAUUCACCUUCUUCAUCGCAAGAUCCGACAAACCCAACACCGAUUCUCCUCGCUGCACCACCACAGACCUCAACAGCAUCUUCCCG
rnacentral:lncRNA from 1 species